UCGGAUCAGGUAGGAAUACCCGCUGAACUUAAGCAUAUCAAUAAGCGGAGGAA
rnacentral:rRNA from 2 species